rnacentral:rRNA from 1 species
ACGAACGCUGGCGGCGUGCUUAACACAUGCAAGUCGAACGGAAAGGCCCUGCUUUUGUGGGGUGCUCGAGUGGCGAACGGGUGAGUAACACGUGAGUAACCUGCCCUUGACUUUGGGAUAACUUCAGGAAACUGGGGCUAAUACCGGAUAGGAGCUCCUGCUGCAUGGUGGGAGUUGGAAAGUUUCGGCGGUUGGGGAUGGACUCGCGGCUUAUCAGCUUGUUGGUGGGGUAGUGGCUUACCAAGGCUUUGACGGGUAGCCGGCCUGAGAGGGUGACCGGCCACAUUGGGACUGAGAUACGGCCCAGACUCCUACGGGAGGCAGCAGUGGGGAAUAUUGCACAAUGGGCGGAAGCCUGAUGCAGCAACGCCGCGUGCGGGAUGACGGCCUUCGGGUUGUAAACCGCUUUCGCCUGUGACGAAGCGUGAGUGACGGUAUGGGUAAAGAAGCACCGGCUAACUACGUG